rnacentral:ncRNA from 12 species
AUAUGUUGAGGUGAGAAACGGCUCUCACACACCCUAUGGGUCAAAAGAGAUGUAGGUACCGCUGGACCUACCAACAUAU